ensembl:lncRNA
CUCUCAUUCUCAAUCGGACAUUGCCGUCAACAAGGCAGCUUUCAUUCCUGCCUUUGCAACCCACUCCAACCUCAGUGUGCUGGCUCUGACUGAGUCCUGGAUCCAUACUGAGAACACUGCCACACCCGCUGCCCUAGCCUCCAACUUCACAUUCUCCCAUACCUCACGUCCCAACAGACAAGUGGGUGGUACAGGUCAACUGGGGAAGUUCAUUGAUGAAUUUGACACGCUACUGUCCACCAUUCUGUACAAUGGAACUCCUCUUCUGGUCCUUGGUGACUUCGUUCAUCUAGACAAGCCACAUGCAGCUGACCUUUUUUUUGACCUCUUGCUCUCCUUUGCACAUUUGACCUCAAGCAGUUCACCACACCAGCAACCCACAAAGCCGGCAAACAGCUCGACCUCAUCCUCACACAACAACCUUCUGGACACCAGGCAGUCUAGCUUCAAGAGCAAUCACUCCAUGGAGACUGCUGUUUUCCAUCACUGAAGCCUUACGACUAGCAAGCGCAAGCUCUAGAUCAUCUGUCCUCAUCCUACUCGACCUUUCUGCUGCUUUCGACACUGUGAACCAUAAGAUCCUCCUGUCACCUCUCUCCAGCCUGUGCAUCACCAGAACGGUUCUGCACUGGGUAGAAUCCUACCUCUGACAGAUCAU